CCAAAUUAAGUAAUUAAUUGAAACCAAAAAUGAGGUAUAUCACGUUAAUGAUAAAAUUGAAUUUAA
rnacentral:tRNA from 1 species